rnacentral:rRNA from 1 species
CACGUAGGGCGCAAGCGUUGUCCGGAAUUAUUGGGCGUAAAGAGCUCGCAGGCGGUCUGUUGCGUCCGCUGUGAAAACUCGGGGCUUAACCCCGAGCCUGCAGUGGAUACGGGCAGACUAGAGGUAGGUAGGGGAGAAUGGAAUUCCCGGUGUAGCGGUGAAAUGCGCAGAUAUCGGGAGGAACACCGGUGGCGAAGGCGGUUCUCUGGGCCUUACCUGACGCUGAGGAGCGAAAGCGUGGGGAGCGAACAGG